CCUACGGGAGGCUGCAGUAGGGAAUAUUGCUCAAUGGGGGAAACCCUGAAGCAGCAACGCCGCGUGGAGGAUGAAGGUUUUCGGAUUGUAAACUCCCUUUGUUAGAGAAGAUAAUGACGGUAUCUAACGAAUAAGCACCGGCUAACUCCGUGCCAGCAGCCGCGGUAAUACGGAGGGUGCAAGCGUUACUCGGAAUCACUGGGCGUAAAGCGCGCGUAGGCGGGAUAGCAAGUCAGAUGUGAAAUCCUAUGGCUUAACCAUAGAACUGCAUUUGAAACUGUUAUUGUAGAGUAUGGGAGAGGUAGGUGGAAUUCUUGGUGUAGGGGGAAAAUCCGUAGAGAUCAAGAGGAAUACUCAUUGCGAAGGCGGCCUGCUAGAACAUAACUGACGCUGAUGCGCGAAAGCGUGGGGAGCGAACAGGAUUAGAUACCCGAGUAGUC
rnacentral:rRNA from 1 species